GGGUGAGUAACACGUGGGUAACCUGCCCUAAGGUCUGGGAUACCACUUGGAAACAGGUGCUAAUACCGGAUAACAACAAUAGCUGCAUGGCUAUUGCUUAAAAGGCGGCGAAAGCUGUCGCUAAAGGAUGGACCCGCGAUGCAUUAGCUAGUUGGUAAGGUAAUGGCUUACCAAGGCGACGAUGCAUAGCCGAGUUGAGAGACUGAUCGGCCACAUUGGGACUGAGACACGGCCCAAACUCCUACGGGAGGCAGCAGUAGGGAAUCUUCCACAAUGGGCGAAAGCCUGAUGGAGCAACGCCGCGUGAGUGAAGAAGGUUUUCGGAUCGUAAAGCUCUGUUGUUGGUGAAGAAGGAUAGAGGUAGUAACUGGCCCCUAUUUGACGGUAAUCAACCAGAAAGUCACGGCUAACUACGUGCCAGCAGCCGCGGUAAUACGUAGGUGGCAAGCGUUGUCCGGAUUUAUUGGGCGUAAAGCGAGCGCAGGCGGAAAGAUAAGUCUGAUGUGAAAGCCCCCGGCUUAACCGAGGAAUUGCAUCGGAAACUGUGUUUCUUGAGUGCAGAAGAGGAGAGUGGAACUCCAUGUGUAGCGGUGGAAUGCGUAGAUAUAUGGAAGAACACCAGUGGCGAAGGCGGCUCUCUGGUCUGUAACUGACGCUGAGGCUCGAAAGCAUGGGUAGCGAACAGGAUUAGAUACCCUGGUAGUCCAUGCCGUAAACGAUGAGUGCUAAGUGUUGGGA
rnacentral:rRNA from 1 species